rnacentral:piRNA from 1 species
UCUUAUUAUUGUUAAAUAUGUUGCCAUGC